rnacentral:lncRNA from 1 species
AUUGAUUGGGCCUCAGAUAAACUAAAAAUAAAAUGCAAAUCCCUAUGCUCUUCUGAGGUUGUCUGUCUCAGGACUAAAUUUAAAGAUUUAAAGGAGUUUUUCCCUUGGGAAGGGUAGGCAUGGAGGGGCUAUGUAGCAGAAAAGAUGUCAGUUCUCCGUUUUUUUCCCAAGGACUUUCACAGGAAACUGGUGGAGACACAGCCUAGGUUUACACAGUCUUAGAUUAAUUCCACAGCCUGAAUAAUCUGGAGGAAAAGGUGAACUAGAUCAGAGAAAGUCCUAACACUCUAAGAGGAAAUGCAUGGAAUCUAUGCAAGCAAGCACAGAAAAAUAAGCUUUACAUCCAAAUAAACAAGGAAAAAUUUUGAAGGGUAAAACGACAAAUUCAAUCAACUGCACAGUGGCUUCAUGAAGGACAAGCAUGUGUCUUCCAAGGAGGUCUGCAUUCAGAUUAUGAGCAGCUCUUUUGGAAGAUAGGAGGAAAGAAUGGAUAUAAAAUCAUUUCAGAAAUUUCUAGCUUUCUGAAAGAAAUUUUACUUUUAAAGAAAAAUAGCCUAAUAGAAACCACAUGGGAAUGAGCACAUCCAGUACUAUGGAGAAAAAGUGACCGUGGCUGUCCACACAUAUAGCGUGUUCUGGAUCCAAUUCCUCUUAAUUCCUUCUUGGUAACACUAAUGCUGGUAAACGAGCAUGCUUGAUGGAAUGCCAAGAGUAAUGAUGACAUUGAGCUGUCACCGUGUGCCAGACAUUGAACUGUUUCAUCCAGAUCAUCUCAAUCACUCCUUACAACAAGCCUUUUGAGAUCUUCAACUGUCACCCCUAGUCUACUGAAUCCAUAUUUUGCCAUAAUUUUGGCUACUCUCAUGUUGGCCCUGAUCAUCAUUGGAGUCCCAGGAAUUUCAAACUCUGCUUCAAGAGAAAUGUGGACACCUUGGGGAAAAUUAACAGACUUUCAUGGUCAUAGAGCAUCUACUCCUUUCAGAAUGCCAGCAAAUGCACACAAGAGCUCCCAAACACUUCUUACAAUCAGGGGCAAGAUGCCCUUCCAUGCACCAAAAACCAAGGUGGAAAAGCUCCUGCCAACCUGAGCAGCACAAGGCAGAGGGGAGGCAGCGGCUGACCUCCUGGGCAACCUGCAAUGACAACCUGACAGCAGACCGGCUGGACUCUCCAGACUGCCGCCAGAUAUGUCACGGGAUGCUUCUCAGGCUCAAGAAUUUAAUAUUCUUUACAGAAAAUAAAGAGUUGGAUUCUGA